ensembl:lncRNA
CUCAGGUUCUGUAACGCUUCAAAUGUGAUUCCACCGGAUUAACGUAUUGCCCCAAAUCUGCGUGUGGGCUAGGGCCUGGAGGUCUGAGGAUGGCAGAAGUUGGAGACCCACCCACUGUACCUCAGAAGGCUCUGUGAGGUCCUGUGAUAUAUGUUUGAACAAUGCAGAUGGGGAAACUGUGGCCCACCCAGGCAUAAGGGGACAUGGGUUUGAUCCCUGGUCGGGGGAGAUUCCACAUGCCUCGAGGAAACUAAGUCCACGCGCCACAACUCUAGUGGCCGUGAAGACCACGCGCUCUGGAGUCUGGGCACCUACAGCCUGUGCUCCAAGAGAAGCCACUGCGACAAGGAGCCCGCCCACCUACACAACAAAGAGUAGCCCCACUCACAGCUAGAGAACUAGAGAAAGCCGUGCACAACAAGGAAGACCUCGCACAUCCAAAAAAUAAACAUCAAAAUGGGGAGGGCGCCAAACUCGUCCAUCCAGAGAACAAAAUGGGGAGGGCGCCAAACUCGUUCAUCCAGAGAUCUGACAGAUUCUGCUGUGGCUCACGGCACGGCCUCAUUUUUUUAAAGCCCAUAAUAAUAACUAGCCUCUCCAAAGCACUCACUAUGUGUCAGGCUUUGUUAAGAACCUUAGGGCACUUAGUUCUCCCAGUAACACUCUGAGAAGGCGUGACUAUUACCCCCUCGUUCCCAACGAGGGGCCUGAGGCACAGAGAGGCUCAGUGACCCGGUGGUCACACUGCUGGCUCACGGCAGCCUCUGGACACGGACCCAACCUCCCCGCCCACCGGGUCUCCACUCGCGGGUGGCUGAGGACCCUGUAGCUCUCCCUUCCUGUCUCCUCUG